AGAAUUGUGUUCUGUUCUUCUUUUCUCUCUUUUUCCCUUUCUUUUUUCUUAUCAGAUUACAUAUCAAUUAUGAAUUUAUCGGU
ensembl:ncRNA C07H6.19 ncRNA